UGGCUCAGAUGGUAAAGCAUCUGCCUGCAAUGCAGGAAACCCGGGUUUGAUCCCUGG
rnacentral:tRNA from 1 species